UAGGGAAUAUUGCAAAUGGGCGAAAGCCUGAUGUAGCAACGCCGCGUGUGCGAUGAAGGUCUUCGGAUUGUAAAGCACUUUUUGGAGGGAUGAGGAAGGACAGUACCUCCAGAAUAAGCCUCGGCUAACUACGUGCCAGCAGCCGCGGUAACACGUAGGAGGCAAGCGUUAUUCGGAUUUACUGGGCGUAAAGCGCGUGCAGGCGGUUUGGAAAGUUGGGUGUGAAAGCUCCUGGCUCAACUGGGAGAGGUCGUUCAAAACUUCCAGACUUGAGAGUGGUAGAGGGAGGUGGAAUUCCGGGUGUAGUGGUGAAAUGCGUAGAUAUCCGGAGGAACACCAGUGGCGAAAGCGGCCUCCUGGACCACUUCUGACGCUCAGACGCGAAAGCUAGGGUAGCAAAC
rnacentral:rRNA from 1 species